GUGGGGAAUAUUGGACAAUGGGCGAAAGCCUGAUCCAGCCAUGCCGCGUGUGUGAAGAAGGUCUUCGGAUUGUAAAGCACUUUAAGUUGGGAGGAAGGGCAGUAAGUUAAUACCUUGCUGUUUUGACGUUACCGACAGAAUAAGCACCGGCUAACUUCGUGCCAGCAGCCGCGGUAAUACGAAGGGUGCAAGCGUUAAUCGGAAUUACUGGGCGUAAAGCGCGCGUAGAUGGUUUUGUAAGUUGGAGAUGAAAUCCCCGGGCUCAACCUGGGAACUGACAACAAAACUGGAUGACUAGAGUACGGUAGAGGGUAGUGGAAAUUCCUGUGUAGCGGUGAAAUGCGUAGAUAUAGGAAGGAACACCAGUGGAGAAGGCGACUACCUGGACUGAUACUGACACUGAGGUGCGAAAGCGUGGGGAGCAAACAGGAUUAGAAACCCUAGUAGUCC
rnacentral:rRNA from 1 species